rnacentral:rRNA from 1 species
AGAGUUUGAUCAUGGCUCAGAAUGAACGCUGGCGGCGUGCUUAACACAUGCAAGUCGUACGAGAAAGCCGAAUUUCGGUUUGGCGAGUAAAGUGGCGCACGGGUGAGUAACGCGUAGGCAACCUGCCCUUGUGUUUGGGAUAACAGAGCGAAAGUUCUGCUAAUACCGGAUACGAUGCGGUUUCGAGAGGAAUCGUAUGAAAGUCAGCCGCUCGAAGAAGCUGGCGCACGAGGAGGGGCUUGCGUCCUAUCAGCUAGUUGGUAGGGUAACGGCCUACCAAGGCGACGACGGGUAGCUGGUCUGAGAGGAUGAUCAGCCACACUGGCACUGGAACACGGGCCAGACUCCUACGGGAGGCAGCAGUGAGGAAUUUUGCGCAAUGGGAGCAAUCCUGACGCAGCAACGCCGCGUGGGUGAUGAAGGCCUUCGGGUCGUAAAGCCCUGUCAGGUGGGAAGAAUGCUCUGAUGAUGAAUAAGCAUCAGGGGUGACGGUACCACCAGAGGAAGCACCGGCUAACUCCGUGCCAGCAGCCGCGGUAAUACGUAUGGGGCAAGCGUUAUCCGGAUUCAUUGGGCGUAAAGAGCGCGUAGGCGGAUUGUUAAGCGAGAUGUGAAAACCGGGGGCUCAACCCGCGGCCUGCAUCUCGAACUGGCAGUCUUGAGUCUGGUAGAGGAAAGUGGAAUUCCCAGUGUAGCGGUGAAAUGCGCAGAUAUUGGGAGGAACACCAGUGGCGAAGGCGGCUUUCUGGGCCACGACUGACGCUGAGGCGCGAAAGCUAGGGGAGCAAACAGGAUUAGAUACCCUGGUAGUCC